UACGUAGGGCGCAAGCGUUGUCCGGAAUUAUUGGGCGUAAAGAGCUCGUAGGCGGUUUGUCGCGUCUGCUGUGAAAACCUAAGGCUCAACCUUGGGCUUGCAGUGGGUACGGGCAGUCUAGAGUGCGGUAGGGGUGACUGGAAUUCCUGGUGUAGCGGUGGAAUGCGCAGAUAUCAGGAGGAACACCGAUGGUGAAGGCAGGUCACUGGGCCGCAACUGACGCUGAGGAGCGAAAGCAUGGGGAGCGAACAGG
rnacentral:rRNA from 1 species